UUGCUUGCUUCAGCAUCACAUAUACUAAAAUUGGAACGAUACAGAGAAAAUUAGCAUGGCCCCUGCACAAGGAUGACACACAAAUUCGUGAAGUGUUCCAUAUUAAA
rnacentral:snRNA from 1 species